rnacentral:rRNA from 1 species
AGUGAACGCUGGCGGUAGGCCUAACACAUGCAAGUCGAACGGCAGCACAGUAAGAGCUUGCUCUUACGGGUGGCGAGUGGCGGACGGGUGAGGAAUACAUCGGAAUCUACUUUUUCGUGGGGGAUAACGUAGGGAAACUUACGCUAAUACCGCAUACGACCUACGGGUGAAAGCAGGGGAUCUUCGGACCUUGCGCGAUUGAAUUAGCCGAUGUCGGAUUAGCUAGUUGGCGGGGUAACGGCCCACCAAGGCGACGAUCCGUAGCUGGUCUGAGAGGGUGAUCAGCCACACUGGAACUGAGACACGGUCCAGACUCCUACGGGAGGCAGCAGUGGGGAAUAUUGGACAAUGGGCGAAAGCUUGAUCCAGCCAUACCGCGUGGGUGAAGAAGGCCUUCGGGUUGUAAAGCCCUUUUGUUGGGAAAGAAAAGCAGCAGGUUAAUACCCCGCUGUUCUGACGGUACCCAAAGAAUAAGCACCGGCUAACUUCGUG